ACUUUGAAACCGGACGCCUGUUCUGCCCGCUGAGCGCUGAGGAUUAUUCAGGAUCUGGCGCCCUCAGAAAGACAUGACUCAGGAAACACACAAAUAGGCCAAGCCAUUCAGGAUGCUGAUAUAGGCAAUCAUAGAGAGGUAGUGAUUCCUGACAUGAUGGUAUACCUCUCUGAGAAUGCUGAGCACUUCAUUACAAAUUACCAGGACAUUAAACUCAAUCCUGAUGACCUGAAACACCACCCACUGCAGAUGGCAGUCCUGUAGAAGUAGGGAUCGUUUUGGAGGGCAUGCAAUUGAUUGCUUGUUUACAAGUGUCCUGAAUGCAUGUGUCAUCUUGCUUGACAUGAUGUAUGUGGUCAGUCAGAACUAUCCAAAUCCAUUAAGUACAAAUGUAUUUUAAUGUGUUUUUUAAAUGCUAUUUCUUAAAA